UGGCCUUGCCGGGUGCCUCCCGGCUGCGUCUUCCCGAGGCUCCGCUCGGAGCACCCAACGGGCGGCGCUUUGCAAGGACGUUCUGGAGGAAGCGCCUGGAGGCUGCAGCGCUACCCGCUGAUGGUCCUGGGAUCUUCUCUUAGCAAUGCCACYGCCGCCACCUGCUCUGCCACCCAUGAGGAUUGUGUGGCGCGAGAAGAUGACRUUGCCCCUGGCCGGGGAUGUGUGGACGUAGACCUCUUGCUCCUGCGAGAGGUCUCACCUUGCAGGAGCUUGCAGG